rnacentral:rRNA from 1 species
GACGAACGCUGGCGGCGUGCUUAACACAUGCAAGUCGAACGGAAAGGCCCUGCUUUUGUGGGGUGCUCGAGUGGCGAACGGGUGAGUAACACGUGAGUAACCUGCCCUUGACUUUGGGAUAACUUCAGGAAACUGGGGCUAAUACCGGAUAGGAGCUCCUGCUGCAUGGUGGGGGUUGGAAAGUUUCGGCGGUUGGGGAUGGACUCGCGGCUUAUCAGCUUGUUGGUGGGGUAGUGACUUACCAAGGCUUUGACGGGUAGCCGGCCUGAGAGGGUGACCGGCCACAUUGGGACUGAGAUACGGCCCAGACUCCUACGGGAGGCAGCAGUGGGGAAUAUUGCACAAUGGGCGGAAGCCUGAUGCAGCAACGCCGCGUGCGGGAUGACGGCCUUCGGGUUGUAAACCGCUUUCGCCUGUGACGAAGCGUGAGUAACGGUAAUGGGUAAAGAAGCACCGGCUAACUACGUG